rnacentral:tRNA from 2 species
AGGGGUGUAGUUUAAUUGGUAGAAUGUUGGUCUCCAAAACCAAUGGUUGGGGGUUCAAAUCCCUCCACCCCUG